UCUCCGUAGGUGAACCUGCGGAGGGAUCAUUACAGAGUUCCUGCCCUCAGCGGUAGAUCUCCCACCCGAUGUUAUCACCCUCUGUUGCUUUGUCGGGCGGCCUCCGCGGCCCUGGCUCCGGCCAGGCAGCGCCCGCCAGAGGACCCCCAACUCUGGAUAUUAUGUCGUCUGAGCACUAUAUAAUAGUUAAAACUUUCAACAACGGAUCUCUUGGUUCUG
rnacentral:misc_RNA from 1 species